GACGAACGCUGGCGGCGUGCUUAACACAUGCAAGUCGAGCGGAAAGGCCUGCUUUCCCUUGUGGAUUGCGGGUACUCGAGUGGCGAACGGGUGAGUAACACGUGAGUGAUCUGCCCCCAACUUGGGUAUAAGCCUGGGAAACUGGGUCUAAUUCCCGAUAGGACUGCAGGGUGGUGCCUGUGGUGGAAAACGAUUUUCUAGUGGUUGGGGAUGAGCUCGCGGCCUAUCAGCUUGUUGGUGGGGUAAUGGCCUACCAAGGCGGCGACGGGUAGCCGGCCUGGGAGGGUGGACGGCAACAUUGGGACUGCGAUACGGCCAAGACGCCUACGGGAGGCAGCAGUGGGGAAUAAUGCACAAUGGGCGGAAGCCUGAUGCAGCGACGCCGCGUGGGGGAUGACGGCCUUCGGGUUGUAAACUCCUUUCGACCGCGAGGAAGCCACCUGGUUGGAAGGGUGGUGACGGUAGUGGUAGAAGAAGCACCGGCUAACUACGUG
rnacentral:rRNA from 1 species